UACGAAGGGGGGCUAGCGUUGCUCGGAUUGACUGGGCGUAAAGCGCGCGUAGGCGGCCCUGUAAGUCCGUUGUGAAAGUCAAAGGCUCAACCUUUGAAAGCCGAUGGAUACUGCAGGGCUGGAGUCCGGAAGAGGCGAGUGGAAUUCCUGGUGUAGCGGUGGAAUGCGCAGAUAUCAGGAGGAACACCAAUAGCGAAGGCAGCUCGCUGGGACGGUACUGACGCUAAGGCGCGAAAGCGUGGGGAGCGAACAGG
rnacentral:rRNA from 1 species